rnacentral:snRNA from 1 species
AUACUUACCUGGCCGGGGAGACACCAUGGUCACGAAGGUGGUUUUCCCAGGGUGAGGCUCAUCCAUUGCACUCUGGAUGUGCUGACCCUGUGAUUUCCCCAAAUGUGGGAAACUCGACUGCAUAAUUUGUGGUAGUGGGGCAUUCGCGCUCUCCCCUG